GCAUCGAGGGCAAAGAGAAAGUGCGGUGCAUGGGCGCCCUCUUCCCCUCCCGCAAAAAAAAAACGGCCGUUGACGUGUUCCAACCACAGUAUUCUUGUAUAUAAGGCUUUCCUCCACUGCCGCCGCGUCUCCUCCUCGCUGUUGUGCGCUCGCGUGCCCGUUUUACAGGGCACGCCCCUGCGUGCUCGAUAGCAGUUUCGGCUGCGGUGCAUCACUUUCGCCUAUUCUCGUGUCCGCCCUUUGCGUUCAUAUGCGUUGCCUUGGUGCCUGUUGGGUGCCCUCUUCUGGGUCUGUUGUCGUGUGGGGCCCUCUCUGCCUCGUGCUGCCAGCCACCUCAGUGCAUGAUACCACAGGGUCUGGUACGCACACGCCGUGUGUGGGGGGAAGGGGGGGCCAAAGAGCCUGCAGCCUGCCGUCGGGUACGGCCGCGGCCUCGUGGUGUCGGCCGGACAGGUCUGGGCCGGCGCUUCACCGGGGAGACGCAGGUCACGAUCGCGUUUGUGCCCUCCCGCGACGGACCGUGUCAGCGAUUCGACACACGUGGGGCGAUGCGGUCCAUAGUCACCAGCCCCACAGUGCGUGCUUGCAAAGCAUGCGGCAUCUACGCCCGGCCGGGCGGACUGGUGAGGCGCAGACGCCGGAAGCGUGAGGGGAGCACCCCGAACCUGCACCAGCGAGCCGCUCAGACGCCCAUGCGCAUACACAUCACGCCACGGCAUACCGCGGCCUGAAGCGACUGAGAGCGAAGCGUGGCAUGCAAGCAGAGCGCGGAGUCUCGGAGGGCCCUGGCCUGCGGCUCGCCAACUGCCUCCCUGAGCUCGUGCGGCACGCGCCUGGGCCACACCCUGCUGCCCGCGCGACAGACGUCACCGCCUCCGCACCGGAGCAGGGCUCUGGGCGCUGCUCGCCUGGAUCAGGGCGUGCAGUCCACCCAGGUCCGCGUGGUGCCGGUGGGACGGUACACAUGGGAAGAGGGAACGGGGGAAGGACAGGACGGGCUCGUCCUAGGCGGCCAGAAUGUAGCCGUGGCGCAACAGAAGUAGAUGAGUGGUGGGGCUGUGUUGUGUGUGUGUGCGUGUGUAUACGUGUUUGGCUGGUUCGUGUGGGUGCGGCGAGGCGUUCGAGCAAAACGUCCUCACGGCUCGCAGACGUGCUGUGCAGUAUGCAUUCGUCUCGCCUCUCGCAUCGCUCGCGGGCACGUCGAGGUGGGCCGCUCGCUCGCUCCCCCCCCCCCUUUGCAUGCCUGUCGGGGUUUCGUUGGCUUAUGGUUGUGGUUUCAGUAAGAGAUGGGGAAGCGGCGGGGCGCACGUGCGAAGCGAUGCCGUUGGGCGGCGGUGAAGCGCACGUUUGAACAGAAGCACGAACCAGCGCGAAUUGGUGUCCCUUCUCUCUAUAUAGGCAUGUAUAUUGUGGGGAGUGGAGGGGCUCAGGCGAUGGAACUCACUGCUCUGCACGCCGGUAUGUCUGCGUCAGGGAAUCGGGUGGGUCGGUGGGGCACAGCGCUUACUUCUGUUUCUGUCGGCUUUGUCUUCGGAUGUGCGCGAACCAAGCACAUCGAUGGCGGUAUGUAUGGCUCAAGUGGGGCAGUGCACGGCUGUCUUGGGCGUGCGCUCGGGUGUCUGUACCUCUCUAUCUUUUCGUUGCCUUUUCUGCUGCUGCAACGAGGAUCACCAAACUACAAUAUCCACCCUGCUGAUCCCUGGUCCGCGCUCGGUCGCAUGCCUUUCCCGGUCGGAGAGCGUCGUGCAGGUGAGGAUGUGCUCCUCAUUCUCCACCACGGAGGGCCCUCUCUUCGUUGAGCACAGGAGACCAAGAGGAGUGGACCUUCACGCACACUGUAUAGUGCGUGCUGAUCUUCUUCCUGCAUUUGUGAAGGCAUCAGUGCAUUCCUGCCGCCCAUCCGUGAUUUUCGCUUGCCUCCACCCUCCCUCUACUCGUCACUUACCUCAUUAUGUCUCUCUUGUCGUCUCCUCAACAUCGCACCUCCCUGUGUGUGUGGUGUGACGUGUAACCACGUCAAAUCGGUGAUGGCGGUGGCGGCGGAUGCGCCACUCACACGCGUGCUCAUCCAUCGUCUGCUCUCCUGGCACCCUCUACAG
rnacentral:misc_RNA from 1 species